rnacentral:rRNA from 1 species
CGAGCUACCAUGCAGUCGAGCGGGCGUAGCAUACGUCAGCGGCAGACGGGUGAGUAACGCGUGGGAACGUACCUUUUGGUUCGGAACAACACAGGGAAACUUGUGCUAAUACCGGAUAAGCCCUUACGGGGAAAGAUUUAUCGCCGAAAGAUCGGCCCGCGUCUGAUUAGCUAGUUGGUAGGGUAAUGGCCUACCAAGGCGACGAUCAGUAGCUGGUCUGAGAGGAUGAUCAGCCACAUUGGGACUGAGACACGGCCCAAACUCCUACGGGAGGCAGCAGUGGGGAAUAUUGGACAAUGGGGGCAACCCUGAUCCAGCCAUGCCGCGUGAGUGAUGAAGGCCCUAGGGUUGUAAAGCUCUUUUGUGCGGGAAGAUAAUGACGGUACCGCAAGAAUAAGCCCCGGCUAACUUCGUGCCAGCAGCCGCGGUAAUACGAAGGGGGCUAGCGUUGCUCGGAAUCACUGGGCGUAAAGGGUGCGUAGGCGGGUCUUUAAGUCAGGGGUGAAAUCCUGGAGCUCAACUCCAGAACUGCCUUUGAUACUGAAGAUCUUGAGUUCGGGAGAGGUGAGUGGAACUGCGAGUGUAGAGGUGAAAUUCGUAGAUAUUCGCAAGAACACCAGUGGCGAAGGCGGCUCACUGGCCCGAUACUGACGCUGAGGCACGAAAGCGUGGGGAGCAAACAGGAUUAGAUACCCUGGUAGUCCACGCCGUANACGAUGAAUGCCAGCCGUUAGUGGGUUUACUCACUAGUGGCGCAGCUAACGCUUUAAGCAUUCCGCCUGGGGAGUACGGUCGCAAGAUUAAAACUCAAAGGAAUUGACGGGGGCCUNGCACAGCGGUGGAGCAUGUGGUUUAAUUCGACNGCACGCGCAGAAACUUACCAGCCCUUGACAUGUCCCAGGACGGUCGCAGAGAUGUGACCUUCUCUUCGGAGCCUGGAGCACANGUGCUGCAUGGCUGUCGUCAGCUCGUGUCGUGAGAUAGNUGGGGUAAAAUCCGCAACGAGCGCAACCCCCCGUCCUAGUUGCUACCAUUUAGUG